rnacentral:lncRNA from 1 species
UUUGUGCUCAAAAUAUCAUAGGCCUACUAAAUCGAUCCCAACCAAAAAUUUGAUGACAGGUAUGUUGGCACUGGACGUGCACUUUAGCCAAAAUUUCUUUCAAUUAGAUAAUUGCUUUCAUACAUGUUCCAUUUGAUUUCAGACGAAGGUGGGAAUAGAACUGCAGAUACAUAUUAUACUAAAAUCCACCAUGACAGAUGAAUAUGAUGCCAAGGAUUAGAUUUGAAAAAAGUUCUUCUCCUCUCUACAUUUGAUGAAAGCCAUUUUCAGCAAAGGUGGGAAUAGAACUGCAGACGCAUAUACCAAAAUCCACCAUGACAGACGAAUAUGCUGCCAACUACAGUUUUAGAUUUAAAACUCCUUUCUACAUCUGAUGGAAACCAUUUUCAGUAAGUUGCACUAUACUAUUUCCUAAU